GGGGCUUUCCCACCUGCACCCCAGGGCCGCUGAGCAGGCUGGGCCGCCUCCCACAGUGGAGAAGCCUCUGCACCCGGGACAGCUCAGGCGCUGCCUGCCUCCACGGCCAACCCCGGGCCCCCAGUCCCGAGAGACACGGAGAGCCUCUCCUCUGCCUGAAACACAUCGGGGGCCCAGAACCCUAGCCAAGGGCCUUUCCUGGGGGAAGACAAGAGCUGUGAAUCCAACGAGACCUGGGAAGCCAGGGAAAGCCUUCCUGAACAGGGCACACUUGAACCAAGGCCCGAAGGAGGGCCGGCCCGCAGACUCCUAUGUAGCAACGCAACCCCAUGACAUCAGGACUCUCAGGAACCGCACCGCACAGGUGAGGAGGCUGAGGCCCUCCAGGGGAGGAUGGGCAACGUGUGCAAAAUUAUGAGACCCCUCCCACUGGGAAACAACUGGGCCGGGUUUCACACCCAGGUCUGAAGGGCUGCAGGGCCGGGACCGCCUGACCGCUCUGGUCAGGCACAGAUGGGCCUGUGCAAUCAGAGAGGGCUCCCUGCAGGGGCGAGUCUUGGCCCAGGUGCCCAGCGAUGGGCAGGAUUCCACGGGUGAGCAGAGGACGGUCCGGGCCCGGGCGAGGCCUGCAGGUGAGACGGCCCUCUCAGCCGGCGUCUCCCAGACCUCGCUUAAAAGUCAUCUUUACAGCCAUUCGUCCUUUUUAUUAAGUAAGUUGAUUUUGGGUUUUUUCGCUUGGUUGGUUUUUAAAAAUAAUUUACUGAGGUGCAAUUCACAUAACGUCAAAUUAACAUUUCAAGGAGGACAACUCAGUGGCACUUGGUACAUUCACAGUGUUGUGCAACCACCACAUCUAACUGGUUGCAAAACGUUUUUAUCUCCCCAAAAAGAGCCCCGUACCCAUCAUGCACUGCUCCCGGCUCUCCAUCCCCCAACCCCACGCCCUGGCGACCACCAGCCUGCUUUCCGUCUCCACGGAUUUAGCUAUUCUGGACAUUUCAGAGAAACGGAGUCACACAAUAGGUGACCUUCUGUGUCUGAAUUCUGUCACUUAGCAUAAUGUCCUGGAGGUUCCCCCUUAUCGUAGCGUGUCAGUAGGACUAUUUCUAAAGGGAAAUUUGUAUUACUACCAGAAAGAGAAAGUAAGUUAUUCAUUCCUACCGGUGGGAAGUAACCAGAAUGUUGCUCACAGCGAUGGUGUUAAUUCCAGCUGGACUCCGAGGCCUGCUCAGGGCUCCGGACCGAGGCCCGCUCCGCCUUGUAACAGGAGGAACGUUCUGGAACUUCUGGGGACGGAAGUGGAGCAUCAGCCAGAGCCCUCCUCAGCCUGCGGCCCGGGAACAUGCUUAGAAGAUGACAAUUGGGCUCCCUUGGGCCGAAAUUCCACUCCCGUGGGGGCCUUGCCAAGGAAAACAAGCCCAAGAAGCAGGCAUUAAAGGUGAGCAUAUUUGACGAGUUUUAAGAUGACAAAUUAUUUACACAGGUGUGAGAACCAUCCCCUCGUGGCGGCUUUCUUCCUUUCUCUUCCUCCCCUUUCCAAAUUCUUUCCCCCAAGGGCGCUGACAGACGUGCCAAGGGAGGGGGCGGCUGGCGGUGAGGACCUGCCCACAGUGAGUCCUUAAAGCCCGGGCCCCAGGGGAGGAGGCGGAGCCGCAGGACAGCGGGUCGCACCAGGGGGCUCUGGUCACCCCUCCUCUACCUGCUUGCUCCCCACCCUGUCGCCUGGGGAGGCACGAGCCUGAGGUCCGGGCAUUUCAAGGCUCCCUGAGUCCUUCAGGAGGAUGGUGCCCAGGCCACCCCCCGGGAAAGCAGUUCCCAGGGUCACACAGCCAGCUCAUGCUCAACUUGGAGCUAACGAGGAGAGAGGUGGGGAAAGCAAUUGUUCUCGAGCACCUACUGUGUGCCUGACACUGAGCGGAGCCCUGGGAAUACACUGUGAAUGGAACAGCCCCAAACCCCUGCCUGGAGCCGACAAGGAAACAGGCCAGACAAACCCAAGAAGUGGAUCUGAUCAUCCUUGUUUUACCAAGGAGGAAACUGAGGCACAGAGAAGGGCAGGGACUUGCCCAGGGUCACAC